rnacentral:tRNA from 1 species
AAGACCCUAGUAAAAUGACCAUUACACUGCUUUGUCAAGGCAGAGUCGUGGGUUCAACCCCCACGUGUCUUA